AAUCAAUAGUUUCUUGAUUGGGAACUGGAAUGAAUGAUUUGACGAGAUAUUAGCUGUAUUGUUAUGGAAUAUUGAAGUUAACUUUUUAGUUAAAAGGCUUAAAUGAUAAUGGAGGACGAGAAGACCCUAUAGAACUUAAUUAAUUGAUAUGGUAUGGGAUUUAGUUUUGUAUUUCAUAUUUUUGAAUAUUAAUUUCAUUGGGGUGAUGUGUAGAUAAUAGAUAACUCUAUAUAAUUGAUAUAAGAAUGGAUAGAUUUAGGAUCUUGUAAUAUGAGUUUAAGAAAAGUUACCUUAGGGAUAACAGCGAUAUUUUUCUUGAGAGUUCUUAUUGAUAGAAGAGAUUGCGACCUCGAUGUUGGAUUAAGGGAUUGCUUGGGUGUAGAAGCUUGAGGAUUAGGUCUGUUCGACCAUUAAAUU
rnacentral:rRNA from 1 species